UACGUAGGUGGCAAGCGUUGUCCGGAUUUAUUGGGUUUAAAGGGUGCGUAGGCGGCCCUGUAAGUCAGUGCUGAAAUAUCCCGGCUUAACCGGGAGGGUGGCAUUGAUACUGCAGGGCUUGAGUACAGAUGAAGUAGGCGGAAUUGACGGUGUAGCGGUGAAAUGCGUAGAUAUCAAGAGGAACACCUGCGGCGAAGGCGGGUUGCUGGGCUGACACUGACGCUGA
rnacentral:rRNA from 1 species